rnacentral:rRNA from 1 species
UACGGAGGGUGCGAGCGUUGUUCGGAAUCACUGGGCGUAAAGCGCGUGUAGGCGGCCUCCUCAGUCUGGUGUGAAAGCCCGGGGCUCACCCCCGGAAGUGCAUUGGAUACUGGGAGGCUGGAGUACCGGAGAGGAGGGUGGAAUUCCUGGUGUAGCGGUGAAAUGCGUAGAUAUCAGGAGGAACACCGGUGGCGAAGGCGGCCCUCUGGACGGAUACUGACGCUGAGACGCGAAAGCGUGGGGAGCAAACUGG